rnacentral:rRNA from 1 species
UGCCUAAUACAUGCAAGUAGAACGCUGAAGGAGGAGCUUGCUCUUCUGGAUGAGUUGCGAACGGGUGAGUAACGCGUAGGUAACCUGCCUGGUAGCGGGGGAUAACUAUUGGAAACGAUAGCUAAUACCGCAUAAGAGUAGAUGUUGCAUGACAUUUGCUUAAAAGGUGCAAUUGCAUCACUACCAGAUGGACCUGCGUUGUAUUAGCUAGUUGGUGGGGUAACGGCUCACCAAGGCGACGAUACAUAGCCGACCUGAGAGGGUGAUCGGCCACACUGGGACUGAGACACGGCCCAGACUCCCACGGGAGGCAGCAGUAGGGAAUCUUCGGCAAUGGACGGAAGUCUGACCGAGCAACGCCGCGUGAGUGAAGAAGGUUUUCGGAUCGUAAAGCUCUGUUGUAAGAGAAGAACGAGUGUGAGAGUGGAAAGUUCACACUGUGACGGUAUCUUACCAGAAAGGGACGGCUAACUACGUGCCAGCAGCCGCGGUAAUACGUAGGUCCCGAGCGUUGUCCGGAUUUAUUGGGCGUAAAGCGAGCGCAGGCGGUUAGAUAAGUCUGAAGUUAAAGGCUGUGGCUUAACCAUAGUAUGCUUUGGAAACUGUUUAACUUGAGUGCAAGAGGGGAGAGUGGAAUUCCAUGUGUAGCGGUGAAAUGCGUAGAUAUAUGGAGGAACACCGGUGGCGAAAGCGGCUCUCU